rnacentral:rRNA from 1 species
GAUGAACGCUAGCGGCGUGCCUAACACAUGCAAGUCGAACGUGAGAGGGUACUUGUAUCCUUGAAAGUGGCGGACGGGUGAGUAAGACGUAGGUGACCUGCCUUGAAGUGGGGGAUAACCAUUGGAAACGAUAGCUAAUACCGCAUAAGCUGGUGACGAUGGGAAUCGUUAUCAGGAAAGCUUUAGUGCUUUGAGAGGGGCCUACGGCCGAUUAGCUAGUUGGUGAGGUAAAGGCUCACCAAGGCGAUGAUCGGUAGCUGGUCUGAGAGGACGAUCAGCCACACGGGAACUGAGACACGGUCCCGACUCCUACGGGGGGCAGCAGUGAGGAAUAUUCGGCAAUGGGGGCAACCCUGACCGAGCAACGCCGCGUGGAGGAUGACGGUUUUCGGAUUGUAAACUCCUUUUCUCAGGGAAGAGUGAGGACGGUACCUGGGGAAUAAGUCACGGCUAACUACGUG